UCCAACCAGUGUGUUUGUCCUCCAGAGCUGUGGAGUGUGACAAUGGUGUUUGUAUCAUCUGUCGUCAAACGCCAUUAUCACACUAAAUAGCCACGGUGUGACCGCUCAACCUCCUCAGC
rnacentral:pre_miRNA from 8 species